CCCCAACUUGAAUUUUGCUCAUCCUCGAGUAAAAUAGAUAUAUCAGCAUUGUGUACCGACUUGAUUUUGAAUAAAAAGUUAGGUUAGGCAUCCCAAAAGGUAGGUGAUACUUGGUCAGACCAUUAAAGAGAUACUUCUUUGGAUUAUAAAUUUGACCCAAUUAGUGGCUGAGUAUUAACUAAAGAAAUUUCAAGAGCUUUUCUUUCACCAACUCCCCACUUUACUCUUUAAAUCCUCUAACUUAAUGGGAAA
rnacentral:lncRNA from 1 species